GCAAAGGUAGCAUAGUCAUUAGUUCUUUAAUUGUGAUCUGGUAUGAAUGGCUUGACGAGGCAUGGGCUGUCUUAAUUUUGAAUUGUUUAUUGAAUUUGGUCUUUGAGUUAAAAUUCUUAGAUGUUUUUAUGGGACGAGAAGACCCUAUAGAGUUUAACAUUUGUUAUGGUCCCCUUUCUGUUUGUGAGGGUUCAUURGGCCGUUUAAUAUGUUUUGUUGGGGUGAUGGGAGGGAUUAAUUUAACCCCUCCUUUUURUUAUUAUAUUUAUUUAUAUUUACUUGAUCCAUUUAUUUUGAUUGUAAGAUUAAAUUACCUUAGGGAUAACAGCGUUAUCUUCCUUGAGAGUUCUUAUCGGCAGGGGGGUUUGCG
rnacentral:rRNA from 1 species